rnacentral:lncRNA from 1 species
ACGCCCCCUUUGAAUUUUGAUCUCGUCUAAUCACAUAGGGUGGCACCCCUCUUAUCCCUAUUUAAACCAAAAAGUGGUUAGGGUUUGUUAGGAAUAGAGUUGGGAUAGAUUAGGACUCCUUUUAAAUGAAUGCCGCCCCAUAUCUCUCCUUUAUUUUUUUCUCCACACCAUAAUAUACCACGCCAAGAAGCUUUUCUCUAUGAAAACAUUAUGGGG